rnacentral:misc_RNA from 1 species
UUAAGUUCAGCGGGUAUCCCUACCUGAUCCGAGGUCAACCUGUGUACGAUGGGGGGUUGCUGGCCAGCCACCCGCCGGGGUCAGGCGCGAGGAGUGUGACUACGCGCAGACGCCGGCGGGCACCGCCACUGACUUUGAGGGCCCCGGUGCCGGGCGCCCCAAGACCAAGCGCGAGCUUGAGAGGUUGCAAUGACGCUCGA